rnacentral:misc_RNA from 1 species
GUAGGUGAACCUGCGGAGGGAUCAUUGAAGAGUUAGGGCCCUCGCGGUCCGACCUCCAACCCUUUGUAUUAUCAACUCUGUUGCCUCGGGGGAGACCCUGCCGUCCGCGGCGCCGGGCCCCCAGGGGACCACUAAACUCUGCGUCUCUGCGUCUGAGUAAUUUUGUAAAUAAAACAAAACUUUCAACAACGGAUCUCUUGGUUCUG